rnacentral:rRNA from 1 species
UAAAGGGGAAAUUCCUUUCGGUCAAUUGGACCGAACGUCUGAAUCCGAAGCAGCGUCGCGUGAGCGAUUGAAAGUCUUCCGGGUUCGUAAAAGCUCUGUUGUCAGAGAAGAACAAAGUACCGGAGUAACUGCCGGUACCCUUGACGGUACCUGACCAGAAAGCCACGGCUAACUACGUGCCAGCAGCCGCGGUAAUACGUAGGUGGCAAGCGUUAUCCGGAAUUAUUGGGCGUAAAGCGCGCGCAGGCGGUUCCUUAAGUCUGAUGUGAAAGCCCACGGCUCAACCGUGGAGGGUCAUUGGAAACUGGGGAACUUGAGUGCAGGAGAGAAAAGUGGAAUUCCACGUGUAGCGGUGAAAUGCGUAGAGAUGUGGAGGAACACCAGUGGCGAAGGCGGCUUUUUGGCCUGUAACUGACGCUGAGGCGCGAAAGCGUGGGGAGCAAACAGGAUUAGAUACCCUGGUAGUCCACGCCGUAAACGAUGAGUGCUAGGUGUUGGGGGGUUCCACCCUCAGUGCUGACGUUAACACAUUAAGCACUCCGCCUGGGGAGUACGGCCGCAAGGCUGAAACUCAAAGGAAUUGACGGGGGCCCGCACAAGCAGUGGAGCAUGUGGUUUAAUUCGAAGCAACGCGAAGAACCUUACCAGGUCUUGACAUCCUCUGACCACUCUAGAGAUAGAGCUUUCCCCUUCGGGGGACAGAGUGACAGGUGGUGCAUGGUUGUCGUCAGCUCGUGUCGUGAGAUGUUGGGUUAAGUCCCGCAACGAGCGCAACCCUUGACCUUAGUUGCCAGCAUUCAGUUGGGCACUCUAAGGUGACUGCCGGUGACAAACCGGAGGAAGGUGGGGAUGACGUCAAAUCAUCAUGCCCCUUAUGACCUGGGCUACACACGUGCUACAAUGGGUGGUACAAAGGGUUGCAAAGCCGCGAGGCCGAGCCAAUCCCAAAAAGCCACUCUCAGUUCGGAUUGUAGGCUGCAACUCGCCUACAUGAAGCCGGAAUUGCUAGUAAUCGCGGAUCAGCAUGCCGCGGUGAAUACGUUCCCGGGCCUUGUACACACCGCCCGUCACACCACGGGGGGCAGGACACCCUAACCGUGAGAGUUGAUCCUGGCUCAGAUGAUGCUGUGCGCGUC